rnacentral:lncRNA from 1 species
AUCACAGGAAGGAAACCUCCGUGGGCAGCAGGAGCAAGUGCAAUCCCUGGAGACGAGUCGAAGGGGCCCGAGGCCCCGAGAAGGGCAGGAUGCGAUGCUGGGUGUGUGACCUCAGCCAUGGAAGGGCCACCUGCCACCGGGGGGCUGGGCCGUCGGGCCUUUGGUUGUGGAGGGAAAAGAGUGGCCACUUGCUGGAGCUGGGAACGUGCAGUGAUGAGCACUAGGACAAGAGGACCGUGACAAACAGACAUAGAAGAUCCCCCUGCCGAGAGAGCCCGACAGCUGCCCCAACCACCCAUGGGUUGAUUUGUAAGAAGCAUAUUGGAAUACGGUCCUGCAGACAAUAGACAGUUGCAAAAUCAGGACCUGACGCUAAUCCCCACUGCUUCAGAAAUCUUCAUUCCAAAUCAACGAAAAAAGAGCGCAAACCCCAAAAAGACCUGCACUUCAUAGAAUGGCUUUGGCUUUUAUCAAGCCACAGAGAAAAUAUAUCAAAACCCUUGAGAAUCCAAGCAAUUUUUUUGUUGCUCUAAAAUUUGUCACAGUUAACAUCAGAGAAGAGAAAACUUGUCUCGUUCAGGCCUACUUUCUAAAGAAAGCAGUGAAAUUCAGGUCAAAAUACUACCAAUACUGGUUAUAUUCUUUUAUUCUUUUUCUUUAAAAAAAGUAAAUUCUAUUUUCACAACAGCUUGCAAUUUCUGAUCAAAAUAAAAUGCUGAUAUUUAACUCA